AUUGAACGCUGGCGGCAUGCCUUACACAUGCAAGUCGAACGGCAGCACGGGUGCUUGCACCUGGUGGCGAGUGGCGAACGGGUGAGUAAUACAUCGGAACAUGUCCUGUAGUGGGGGUUAGCCCGGCGAAAGCCGGAUUAAUACCGCAUACGAUCUACGUAUGAAAGCGGGGGCCCUUCUGCCCUCGCGCUAUAGGGUUGGCUGAUGGCUGAUUAGCUAGUUGGUGGGGUAAAGGCCUACCAAGGCGACGAUCAGUAGCUGGUCUGAGAGGACGACCAGCCACACUGGAACUGAGACACGGCCCAGACUCCUACGGGAGGCAGCAGUGGGGAAUUUUGGACAAUGGGCGAAAGCCUGAUCCAGCAAUGCCGCGUGUGUGAAGAAGGCCUUCGGGUUGUAAAGCACUUUUGUCCGGAAAGAAAUCCUUGGCCCUAAUACGGUCGGGGGAUGACGGUACCGGAAGAAUAAGCACCGGCUAACUACGUG
rnacentral:rRNA from 1 species